GACACGGGUCGGGUUUGAAACAUAUUUUGUUUGCAGGCCAAAAACCACCACUCUCAGAUCCAUCACUUAACAAACUACACUAAACCCAACAUAACUCACCUUUUAUCUCUUCAAUCCAAACCCUAAUCUUAUCUUCUCAAUCGCUCUGUAUCUUCAUUCCGAUCCUCCAAUCCAAUCCAAUCCAAUUCCAUUCAAAUCGAUACCGAAUUUCAUACAAUGUGUUACCUAAACUGUCAAGAAGCAUUAAAUUUAAUGUAAAAGAAAAAGAAAGAAAAAGAACGUGAAGGGUGAAGCACCAAGUAGGAGGGCUUAUUGAUGCUUAACCCUAUACUUUCAAGGGGGGCUUAUUCUCAUGAUUUUAGAUUUCUUUUCUGUUUGAAUCUUCGAGAUAUGAUGUUUCUAAUCCUUGAAGAUCGUGAAGAGCAUAAGAUUGGUUUCCGGCUACCGGCAAACGAUAAUCGAGUGCGGCGAUUUCUGGCCAGCACUCGGUCAUCUUCUUUUAUUCCACAUCGCCAGCAUAACAAAAUCAAACCCAUUUCUAUUUCGAAAGCCAAAAAAACUUUUAUCUAAAUAGUCUUCUAUUCAUUUUAAUCGCAUGUUUUUCAAGAAGUACUAACAAAAUUUGGGGAUUUUAAAGGA